UAGACUGAAGUCGAUUCGGAAGCCGGAAGCUGAGGGGCAUGUGUCCAGGCAGUACAAUCAGCAGAGCACAGCACCACCAAAACAUGCCACACGCUUCCUAAGAGCUCAGCCGGGAAGGAGCCAGCAGCGUGUGUGAGAGGGAGAGAUAGUUACACGGGACCAAAGUGCUCCCGGGUUCUGACUGGACCGGAGAGCUGCAGCCCUUGCUAAAGGCAGUUGGAAGACUCAGUUCCAGGAAGUAGACUGUGCUACUCCAAGGGCAGCGAUAUCUACAGCACCGGAUGUUCUCUGUACAGACUGCCCCUGGGGAAAAAUGACAUUUCCUCUCAGACUAAAAGGAGCAAGGAGGGGGGCUGCUGACAAAAGUGUUCCUUUGGCGUUGGCUGCUAUGAUGCUCAGAGUCCCAAGACAGACCAAUCACAACAAGAAAGUCAAUGUGUAGACACAGUAGCCAUUUUAGAUUAUUUAAAGUGAAUAUUUUUGUAACUUAGGUCUUAGUGAUCUAAGCCACAAGUGGUGGCCUCAGGAGCCAGGAAUGGUCACAGACCACAUUUUGGUCUAUGUCAUUCUGAUCUUUUAAAUCUGUCAUGCAUUUGUAAAUGAAGAAAACACCAUGUGUGUUUCUUAUUAACAUGUACCCAAGGCCUCACUUAGAACAUCGUGAAUACCUUUUCUUGCCUUUAGUUGGUUGGGUUUUAUGCUCCAAAGGUGCCACCACGGAGCCUUUGGAACAAGGAGAGCAUUGUGGACUGAACUGUGAACUAUGUCCCCUUAGGAUUCACAAACUGAAACCCUUACCCUAGUGCUUUGGAAUGUGACCACAGGUCAGGCUUCCUGUGGCUGACAGAGAGUGAUAGCCAUCCUAAGAAUGUCCUAAAUGGCUCGAAUGCAAUGGGACAAAGCCACAGUGCACCAUGGGUCCAGAUCUAUUCUGCCAUUAUCAGGGACAUGGAAGGAAACCCUAGAAGUUGCAGGUUUGGGGAAUGACGUGGGCUGUCCCUGCCUCCAAGAGGUGACUUGUGACAGCCUCCCACUCUAUACGAUCUCACCUUGAAGCACCUGUGUGGGUCUUCCCUCUGACCCCAGGCCCUUUCCUGGGUCUUCUGGACUCCAAGAAUGCAGAGGUCGGGGCUGCUGUCUGUCAGCUGUGUGUGUAUACCCUUCAGAAGAGGCAGGAAUUGGAUGCCAUCUUCUGGAUUUUUCUGGCCCCGGGUCAAAGAGAUGUGGACAUCCUAAUACUUUGGCAUCCCUGCCUCUGGUGAUCUGGAAUUCUUCAGUGCCUGGCUGUGGGGUGUAGUGUCAUGAUAAUGCUGUAUGAAUGAGGCCCACACAUUUAUGAGAAGUGAAAAAUGAGCCAGUCUCUAAAUAACAACAUACAGCUUGUACACUGGAUUCAUAAUAAGCCCCUCUAUUUAACAUUGAUUUUAAAACCAUAACUAACCUGCACUUACUUGGCAACAUUUAAUUAAAAUGAAAGUCUAAAGUACCAGACUAUCACCAAUGUUUUGAGCAUCCUAAGAAGCAGCCUACCAUGUGAUAUGAGUUUCUCAAGAAAGUUUGAUUGUCCCUUGGUGUCCGCAGGAAAUUGACUCCAAGACCACUUGUGGGCCAAGUUUGUUGGAGGCUCAAGUCCUUCUUAUGAGACUGUAUGGUAAUUGCAUAAAACCCAAAUACUUUC